AUGAACGCUGGCGGCGUGCCUAAUACAUGCAAGUUGAGCGAACAGACGAGGAGCUUGCUCCUCUGACGUUAGCGGCGGACGGGUGAGUAACACGUGGAUAACCUACCUAUAAGACUGGGAUAACUUCGGGAAACCGGAGCUAAUACCGGAUAAUAUAUUGAACCGCAUGGUUCAAUAGUGACAGACGGUUUUGCUGUCACUUAUAGAUGGAUCCGCGCCGCAUUAGCUAGUUGGUAAGGUAACGGCUUACCAAGGCAACGAUGCGUAGCCGACCUGAGAGGGUGAUAGGCCACACUGGAACUGAGACAAGGUCCAGACUCCUAAGGGAGGCAGCAGUAGGGAAUCUUCCGAAAUGGGCGAAAGCCUGACGGAGCAACGCCGCGUGAGUGAUGAAGGUCCUCGGAUCGUAAAACUCUGUUAUGAGGGAAGAACAAAUGUGUAAGUAACUAUGCACGUCUUGACGGUACCUAAUCAGAAAGCCACGGCUAACUACGUG
rnacentral:rRNA from 1 species